UCAGCUUUAGUUUAUAUUUUGAGAAUGUUAAUUUGUCGUGUUAACGGAGAAGUUUUUCAAGCUGCG
rnacentral:tRNA from 1 species